ACGGGGCGCAGCAGGCGCGAGAACUCCACAAUGCGCGAAAGCGUGAUGGGGUUACCCCGAGUGCCGUCCGUUGAGGAUGGCUUUUCUCUAGUGUAAGAUGUUGGGGGAAUAAAGGGGGGGCAAGUCUGGUGUCAGCCGCCGCGGUAAUACCAGCCCCCUGAGUGAUAGGGACGAUUAUUCAGCCUAAAGCGUCCGUAGCCGGUUUAGUAAGUCUUUCGUUAAAUCUGACGACUCAAUCGCCAGGCCGCGGAAGAUACUACUAGACUAGAGGGCGGGAGAGGUUGACGGUAGUCCUGGAGUAGGGGUGAAAUCCUAUAAUCCCGGGAGGACCACCAGUGGCGAAGGCGGUCAACUAGGACGCGCCUGACGGUGAUGGACGAAAGCUGGGGGAGCGAACCGGAUUAGAUACCCAUGUAGUCCUAGCAGUAAACACUGCGCACUAAACAUCAGUACCUCUUCGGGAGGCAUUGGUGCUGAAGGGAAGCCGAAGAGUGCGCUACCUGGGAAGUAUAGCCGCAAGGCCGAAACUUAAAGGAAUUGGCGGGGGAGCAC
rnacentral:rRNA from 1 species